UACGGAGGGAGCUAGCGUUGUUCGGAAUUACUGGGCGUAAAGCGCACGUAGGCGGCUUUGUAAGUUAGAGGUGAAAGCCCGGGGCUCAACCCCGGAAUUGCCUUUAAGACUGCAUCGCUUGAAUCCGGGAGAGGUGAGUGGAAUUCCGAGUGUAGAGGUGAAAUUCGUAGAUAUUCGGAAGAACACCAGUGGCGAAGGCGGCUCACUGGACCGGUAUUGACGCUGAGGAGCGGAAAGCAUAGGGGAGCGAACAGGG
rnacentral:rRNA from 1 species